CGAAAAUUGUGAGUGAAACACUACUGUAGAAGCUCUAGGGUAGUUAACGAAAAACGAAUCAUCUUCUUCCCACCUUCGCUCAUCAAUUGCUCACCAUAACCACCUUCUUCAUCAGAUUGCAGGUGGCCAAAGGGGAUUAAUCUUCUUCCUUUUGUAGCACCUUUGGGUGGACUAGAGUCUGUGAGAGCACGCCUUCUGUCUUGAUUGCGCUAGGAGUGAUUCAAUCUGUUGUCUAUGCUCAGGGUAACAUAGCACUGGUUAGUGGUCCUAUUCCGAUAAUGGACGUGUGGAGUAACAACGGUGUCAGAUAUUGCGUUGAAUUCAAUGAGUUUUGCCAACCAAUUAGGAAAGGUGGAAGUAUGUUGGUUAGAUUCAUUGGACCAUUGCAAAGGUUGAGACAUAUUGUCCGGUUGGAGAAUCAAAUUGGCAUUCUGUCGACACGAAUCUCAAAACUAAGA